CAGGAUGGCUCGUACUUGGCAGAGUUCCUGUUGGAAAAGGGCUAUGAGGUCCAUGGAAUUGUACGUCGAUCCAGUUCAUUCAACACAGGCCGAAUUGAGCACCUGUAUAAGAACCCGCAAACUCACAUGGAAGGAAAUAUGAAGCUGCACUAUGGAGACCUCACUGACAGUACCUGCCUGGUGAAAAUAAUCAAUGAAGUAAAACCUUCAGAAAUUUACAACCUAGGAGCCCAAAGCCAU